rnacentral:rRNA from 2 species
CGCGUCGCAUUAGCUAGUUGGUGAGGUAACGGCUCACCAAGGCAACGAUGCGUAGCCGACCUGAGAGGGUGAUCGGCCACACUGGGACUGAGACACGGCCCAGACUCCUACGGGAGGCAGCAGUAGGGAAUCUUCCGCAAUGGACGAAAGUCUGACGGAGCAACGCCGCGUGAGUGAUGAAGGCUUUCGGGUCGUAAAACUCUGUUGUUAGGGAAGAACAAGUGCUAGUUGAAUAAGCUGGCACCUUGACGGUACCUAACCAGAAAGCCACGGCUAACUACGUGCCAGCAGCCGCGGUAAUACGUAGGUGGCAAGCGUUAUCCGGAAUUAUUGGGCGUAAAGCGCGCGCAGGUGGUUUCUUAAGUCUGAUGUGAAAGCCCACGGCUCAACCGUGGAGGGUCAUUGGAAACUGGGAGACUUGAGUGCAGAAGAGGAAAGUGGAAUUCCAUGUGUAGCGGUGAAAUGCGUAGAGAUAUGGAGGAACACCAGUGGCGAAGGCGACUUCUG